GACGAACGCUGGCGGCGUGCUUAACACAUGCAAGUCGAACGGAAAGGCCCUGCUUUUGUGGGGUGCGCGAGUGGCGAAAGGGAGAGUAACGCGUGAGUAACCUGCCCUUGACUUUGGGAUGACUUCAGGAAACUGGGGCUAAUACCGGAUAGGAGCUCCUGCUGCAUGGUGGGGGUUGGAAAGUUUCGGCGGUUGGGGAUGGACUCGCGGCCUAUCAGCUUGUUGGUGGGGUAGUGGCUUACCAAGGCGUUGACGGGUAGCCGGCCUGAGAGGGUGACCGGCCACAUUGGGACUGAGAUACGGCCCAGACUCCUACGGGAGGCAGCAGUGGGGAAUAUUGCACAAUGGGCGGAAGCCUGAUGCAGCAACGCCGCGUGCGGGAUGACGGCCUUCGGGUUGUAAACCGCUUUCGCCUGUGACGAAGCGUGAGUGACGGUAAUGGGUAAAGAAGCACCGGCUAACUACGUG
rnacentral:rRNA from 1 species